rnacentral:ncRNA from 1 species
CAUCAGGGGUGCUGAGAGGCUGAGACAGGCAAUGCCUGAACCCUAAACCUGAUACGGAUAAUACCGGCGUAGGGAGCAUGUACAU